rnacentral:lncRNA from 1 species
GAAGGAUCAGGCAAAUUCUUACAUAGGAAUUUCGAAUUGACUUUCAAAUUCUGAAUCUGUCGAAUUAGAAGAAAAGCGGGAUUUCUCUGUAGACUCAACGUGCCAGCCCUGACUUGGAGUGAGCCCAGAGCCCAGAGCCGGGGUCCCUGGGGGAUGCUGCAUGACAACACCUUCCUCUGCUGGGACUCGGUUGAGAAUCCGUCUCUGAGAACCUGAAGCUUUUCCUGCUGAUUCUCACUAUUUUCCCAGCAAACUUCCACCCAAGAAAGUUCCAGAAAGAACACCCGUGGGAGGCCUCCCUGCUACAGCGAAGCAGACCUCACCCACCACUACCAGUAUUAAGUCAGAACGGCCAAAGGAAGAUCCUGCCAGACUUUCCCUUGAGCUGGUCUGCAGGCCCCUGCAGCCAGGAACCUGUCCCAGGAGCCGUCCGUCCGUCCAUUGGCAAACAGGUGCGUGCCCCUUCACAUUGCACUUUCUGCUCCCCUGGAGCUGGUUCGUGGGCUGGGGCUUCUCGGGGUGGGGGGGCACUCGGGGGCCAGGGUGUGGGC